ensembl:lncRNA
UGCCUACUAACCAAUCACGUUACAUUACACUGCCUACUAACCAAUCAUGUUACAUUACACUGCCUACUAACCAAUCACGUUACAUUACACUGCCUACUAACCAAUCACAUUACAUUACACUGCCUACUGACCAGUCACGUUACAUUACACUGCCUACUAACCAAUCACGUUACAUUACACUGCCUACUGACCAAUCACGUUACAUUACACUGCCUACUAACCAAUCACGUUACAUUACACUGCCUACUGACCAAUCACGUUACAUUACACUGCCUACUGACCAAUCACGUUACAUUACACUGCCUACUAACCAAUCAUGUUCCAUUACACUGCCUACUGACCAAUCGCGUUACAUUACACUGCCUACUAACCAAUCACGUUACAUUACACUGCCUACUGACCAAUCACGUUACAUUACACUGCCUACUAACCAAUCACGUUACAUUACACUGCCUACUGACCAAUCACGUUACAUUACACUGCCUACUGACCAAUCACGUUACAUUACACUGCCUACUAACCAAUCAUGUUCCAUUACACUGCCUACUAACCAAUCACGUUACAUUACACUGCCUACUGACCAAUCACGUUACAUUACACUGCCUACUGACCAAUCACGUUACAUUACACUGCCUACUGACCAAUCACGUUACAUUACACUGCCUACUAACCAAUCACGUUACAUUACACUGCCUACUAACCAAUCACAUUACAUUACACUGCCUACUGACCAAUCCCGUUACAUUACACUGCCUACUAACCAAUCACGUUACAUUACACUGCCUACUGACCAAUCACGUUACAUUACACUGCCUACUAACCAAUCACGUUACAUUACACUGCCUACUGACCAAUCACGUUACAUUACACUGCCUACUGACCAAUCACGUUACAUUACACUGCCUACUAACCAAUCAUGUUACAUUACACUGUCUACUGACCAAUCACGUUACAUUACACUGCCUACUAACCAAUCACGUUACAUUACACUGCCUACUGACCAAUCACGUUACAUUACACUGCCUACUAACCAAUCACAUGUUGAACAACUCUCAACCUUAUCAAAUCACAGAAGUCAACUGACAUUACACUGCCUACUAACCAAUCAUGUUACAUUACACUGCCUACUGACCAAUCACGUUACAUUACACUGCCUACUAACCAAUCACGUUACAUUACACUGCCUACUGACCAAUCACGUUACAUUACACUGCCUACUAACCAAUCAUGUUACAUUACACUGCCUACUAACCAAUCAUGUUGCAUUACACUGCCUACUAACCAAUUACGUUACAUUACACUGCCUACUGACCAAUCACGUUACAUUACACUGCCUACUAACCAAUUACGUUACAUUACACUGCCUACUGACCAAUCACGUUACAUUACACUGCCUACUGACCAAUCAUGUUACAUUACACUGCCUACUAACCAAUCACGUUACAUUACACUGCCUACUAACCAAUCACGUUACAUUACACUGCCUACUAACCAAUCACGUUACAUUACACUGCCUACUAACCAAUCACGUUACAUUACACUGCCUACU